rnacentral:rRNA from 1 species
AGAGUUUGAUCCUGGCUCAGGAUGAACGCUGGCGGCGUGCUUAACACAUGCAAGUCGAACGGUGAACACGGAGCUUGCUCUGUGGGAUCAGUGGCGAACGGGUGAGUAACACGUGAGCAACCUGCCCCUGACUCUGGGAUAAGCGCUGGAAACGGCGUCUAAUACUGGAUAUGUGACGUGAUCGCAUGGUCUGCGUCUGGAAAGAAUUUCGGUUGGGGAUGGGCUCGCAGCCUAUCAGCUUGUUGGUGAGGUAAUGGCUCACCAAGGCGUCGACGGGUAGCCGGCCUGAGAGGGUGACCGGCCACACUGGGACUGAGACACGGCCCAGACUCCUACGGGAGGCAGCAGUGGGGAAUAUUGCACAAUGGGCGCAAGCCUGAUGCAGCAACGCCGCGUGAGGGACGACGGCCUUCGGGUUGUAAACCUCUUUUAGCAGGGAAGAAGCGAAAGUGACGGUACCUGCAGAAAAAGCGCCGGCUAACUACGUGCCAGCAGCCGCGGUAAUACGUAGGGCGCAAGCGUUAUCCGGAAUUAUUGGGCGUAAAGAGCUCGUAGGCGGUUUGUCGCGUCUGCUGUGAAAUCCGGAGGCUCAACCUCCGGCCUGCAGUGGGUACGGGCAGACUAGAGUGCGGUAGGGGAGAUUGGAAUUCCUGGUGUAGCGGUGGAAUGCGCAGAUAUCAGGAGGAACACCGAUGGCGAAGGCAGAUCUCUGGGCCGUAACUGACGCUGAGGAGCGAAAGGGUGGGGAGCAAACAGGCUUAGAUACCCUGGUAGUCC